UAAAGCAAGAAAGGGCGUAUGGGGAAUGCCUAGGCACACUCCGGCGAAGAAGGACGCAGCAAACAGCGAAAUGCGACGGUGAGCGGUAAGCACGUGAAGAGCCGUCGAUAUCCGAAUGGGGGAACCCACACGGAGUCAUAUCCGUGUAUCACAUGUCGAAUACAUAGACAUGAUGAGGCGAGACGCAGGGAACUGAAACAUCUAAGUACCUGCAGGAGAAGAAAACAAACGUGAUUCCCCCAGUAGCGGCGAGCGACCGGGGAUAAGCCCAAACCGUUAUUGUUUCGGCAGUAGCGGGGUAGUAGGACUGCGACAUUGAUGAAAUAAAUGAAAUGGAACACCUUGGAAAAUGUGAUCACAGAGGGUGAUAAUCCCGUACAUGCAAGUUUAUGAAUCAUAGCAGUAUCCUGAGUAAGUCGGGACACGUGUAAUCCUGACCGAAUCCGCCGGGACCAUCCGGCAAGGCUAAAUACUCCUGAGAGACCGAUAGUGAACCAGUACCGUGAGGGAAAGGUGAAAAGCACUUCGAACAGAAGAGUGAAAUAGUCCCUGAACCCAUACGCCUACAAGCUGUCGGAGCCGCUUCGUGCGGUGACGGCGUGCCUUUUGCAUAAUGAGCCUACGAGUUACUCAUCACCAGCGAGGUUAAGUACUUCAGGUACGUAAGCCGAAGCGAAAGCGAGUCUGAAUAGGGCGUCAAGUUGGUGGUGGUAGACGCGAAACCUUAGUGAUCUACCCAUGGGCAGGGUGAAGGUUUGGUAACACAAACUGGAGGCCCGAACCGGUAAACGUUGAAAAGUUUUCGGAUGACCUGUGGGUAGGGGUGAAAGGCCAAUCAAACUGGGAAAUAGCUCGUACUCUCCGAAAUGCAUUUAGGUGCAGCCUCUGUUGUUUUGUUCUAGAGGUAGAGCUACUGAUUGGAUGCGAGGGCUUCACCGCCUAUCAAAUCCGGCCAAACUCCGAAUGCUAGAACAUGAAGACAGGGAGUGAGCCAGCGGGUGCUAAGGUCCGUUGACGAAAGAGGGAGAACUCAGACCAUCAGCUAAGGUCCCCAAUUAUAUGCUAAGUUGGAAUUAAAACGGGGUGGGACUGCUUAGACAGCUAGGAUGUUGGCUUGGAAGCAGCCAUUCAUUUAAAGAGUGCGUAACAGCUCACUAGUCGAGCGGUCCUGCAUGGAUAAUACGCGGGCAUAAGCAUAUAACCGAAGCUAUGGGAUUGUAGAUGAUACAAUCGGUAGGAGAGCAUUCCAUUCAGCGUAGAAGCAGUAUCGUGAGGUAUUGUGGAGCGGAUGGAAAAGCAAAUGUAGGCAUAAGUAACGAUAAUGCGGGUGAGAACCCCGCACGCCGAAAGAUCAAGGAUUCCCCGGCAAUGUCAAUCAUCCGGGGGUAAGUCGGAUCCUAAGGGUAAGCCGAGUGGCGAUCCCGAUGGCAAACAGGUUAAUAUUCCUGUACUGAUCAUAACUGCGAUGCAGCGACGCAGAGGUGACACUGCUGCGUACUGACGGAAUAGUACGUUGAAACCCGUAUUCUUUGAUACCGGUAGUGAAGCACGCCGGUAGAGAUGAAAGGUGAUAGUACCGCAAUGCUUCGGUUGCGCGGAUAACGCAGGUAAGCUGACUGCCAAGAAAACCUGCUAAGCUUCAGGUAAUGAUCAUCCGUACUGUAAACGGACACACGUGAUCAGGUAGAAAAUACUAAGGCGCUCGAGAGAUUCAUGGUUAAGGAACUAGGCAAAAUGGUCCUGUAACUUCGGGAUAAAGGACGCUCUUGUGAAAGAGCCGCAGAUAAUAGGCCCAGGCGACUGUUUACCAAAAACACAUGGCUAUGCUAAUUCGCAAGAAGAUGUAUAUGGCCUGACACCUGCCCGGUGCCGGAAGGUUAAGAGGAGAGCUCAGAGGCAACUCGAAGGUUUGAAUUGAAGCCCCGGUAAACGGCGGCCGUAACUAUAACGGUCCUAAGGUAGCGAAAUUCCUUGUCGGGUAAGUUCCGACCUG
rnacentral:rRNA from 1 species